UCUUGGUCAUUUAGAGGAAGUAAAAGUCGUAACAAGGUUUCCGUAGGUGAACCUGCGGAAGGAUCAUUACCUAGAGUUGUAGGCUUUGCCUGCUAUCUCUUACCCAUGUCUUUUGAGUACCUUACGUUUCCUCGGUGGGUUCGCCCACCGAUUGGACAAACUUAAACCCUUUGCAGUUGAAAUCAGCGUCUGAAAAAACUUAAUAGUUACAACUUUCAACAACGGAUCUCUUGGUUCUGGCAUCGAUGAAGAACGCAGCGAAAUGCGAUAAGUAGUGUGAAUUGCAGAAUUCAGUGAAUCAUCGAAUCUUUGAACGCACAUUGCGCCCCUUGGUAUUCCAUGGGGCAUGCCUGUUCGAGCGUCAUUUGUACCUUCAAGCUCUGCUUGGUGUUGGGUGUUUGUCUCCUGUAGACUCGCCUUAAAACAAUUGGCAGCCGGCGUAUUGAUUUCGGAGCGCAGUACAUCUCGCGCUUUGCACUCAUAACGACGACGUCCAAAAGUACAUUUUUACACUCUUGACCUCGGAUCAGGUAGGGAUACCCGCUGAACUUAAGCAUAUCAAUAAGCGGAGGAA
rnacentral:rRNA from 1 species